rnacentral:rRNA from 1 species
GUAAGCUAUUAAGAGCGAAUGGUGGAUGCCUAGGCUGUAAGAGGCGAUGAAGGACGUACUAGACUGCGAAAAGUCACGGGGAGCUGUCAAGAAGCUUUGAUCCGUGGAUAUCCGAAUGGGGCAACCCACUGCAAGUCAUGUUGCAGUACCGAUACCUGAAUAAAAUAGGGUAUAUGGAGCCAUACCCGGGGAAUUGAAACAUCUUAGUACCCGGAGGAAGAGAAAGCAACCGCGAUUUCCUAAGUAGCGGCGAGCGAACGGGAAACAGCCUAAACCAUAUUUGUGUGAUAGCCUGCCGGCGUUGCAGAUAUGGGGUAGCGGGACACUUUAAUGUUUCCGGCAGGAAACGGCAGCGGAAGUUAACAUGUUAGCCGAACGGACUGGAAAGUCUGGCCAUAGAGGGUAAAAGCCCUGUAGGCGAAAACGAGUUAACAGCUGAGAAGUGAUCCCAAGUAGCACGGGACACGUGAGACCCCGUGUGAAUCAGGGAGGCCCACCUCCUAAGGCUAAAUACCAACUGGCAACCGAUAGUGAACCAGUACCGUGAGGGAAAGGUGAAAAGCACCCCGGGAGGGGAGUGAAAUAGAACCUGAAACCGUACGCUUACAAACAGUAAUAGCACAAUACAGAAGUCCUAGACUUCUGGAGGUGUGAUUGCGUACUUUUUGUAGAACGGGCCGGCGAGUUACGUUUUGUAGCAAGGUUAAGCGGUUAAGCCGCGGAGCCGUAGCGAAAGCGAGUCUGAAUAGGGCGCAUUAGUUGCAGGACGUAGACCCGAAACCGAGUGAUCUACCCAUGGCCAGGGUGAAGCUUGUUUAAACGCAAGUGGAGGCCCGAACUCACCAAUGUUGAAAAAUUGGGGGAUGAGCUGUGGGUAGUGGUGAAAUGCCAAUCGAACUCGGAGAUAGCUGGUUCUCCCCGAAAUAGCUUUAGGGCUAGCGUCAGGAGAUGAGACAUGGAGGUAGAGCACUAUUUGGGCUAGGGGCCUUACCAGGUUACCGAACUCAGAUAAACUCCGAAUGCCAUGUACUUUAAUCUGGCAGUCAGACUGCGGGAGAUAAGUUUCGUAGUCAAGAGGGAAACAGCCCAGACCGUCAGCUAAGGUCCCAAAGUACAGGCUAAGUGGAAAAGGAUGUGGGAUUGCACAGACAACCAGGAUGUUGGCUUAGAAGCAGCCACCAUUUAAAGAGUGCGUAAUAGCUCACUGGUCAAGUGAUUCUGCGCCGAAAAUGUAACGGGGCUAAGCCUGUCACCGAAGCUACGGCAUACUGGAGGUUCUAACCUCCAGUAUGGGUAGGGGAGCGUUCUGGACAGCGUAGAAGCUGUACUGAGAAGAGCAGUGGAGCGUCCAGAAGAGCGAAUGCCGGCAUGAGUAACGAAAAGGCAAGUGAGAAUCUUGCCCGCCGAAAGCCUAAGGUUUCCUGAGCAAGGUUCGUCCUCUCAGGGUUAGUCGGGACCUAAGCCAAGGCCGAAAGGCGUAGGUGAUGGACAACAGGUGUAGAUUCCUGUACCACCAAUUAUCGUUUGAGUGAUGGAGUGACACAGAAGGAUAGGCGAUCACACAGUUGGAUUUGUGUGUCCAAGCAUUGAGGAAGUAGCCGCAGGCAAAUCCGCGGUUACAAUUCUGGGAUGUGAUGGGGAGCGAAAUUUAGUAGCGAAGUCGUUGAUUUCACGCUGUCAGGAAAAGCUUCUAGCGAGAUAAAAGGUGCCCGUACCGCAAACCGACACAGGUGGGUGGGGAGAGAAUCCCAAGGCCAGCGAGAGAACUGUUGUUAAGGAACUCGGCAAAAUUACCCCGUAACUUAGGGAGAAGGGGUGCCUCAUUAGUGUUAACGCACGAAGAGGCCGCAGAGAAUAGGCCCAAGCGACUGUUUACCAAAAACAUAGGUCUCUGCUAAACCGCAAGGUGAAGUAUAGGGGCUGACGCCUGCCCGGUGCUGGAAGGUUAAGGGGAUGAGUUAGAGCAAUCGAAGCACUGAACUUAAGCCCCAGUAAACGGCGGCCGUAACUAUAACGGUCCUAAGGUAGCGAAAUUCCUUGUCGGGUAAGUUCCGACCCGCACGAAAGGCGUAACG